rnacentral:rRNA from 1 species
UACGUAGGUGGCAAGCGUUGUCCGGAUUUAUUGGGUUUAAAGGGUGCGUAGGCGGUCCUAUAAGUCAGUUGUGAAAUACGGCAGCUUAACUGUCGAGGUGCAAUUGAUACUGCAGGACUUGAGUACAGACGAGGUAGGCGGAAUUGACGGUGUAGCGGUGAAAUGCUUAGAUAUGACAUAGAACACCGAUAGCGAAGGCAGCUUGCUACACAGUCAUUGACACUGAGGCACGAAAGCGUGGGGAGCAAACAGG